rnacentral:rRNA from 1 species
CACCGCGGUUAGACGAGAGACCCUAGUUGAUACCAAAACGGCGUAAAGGGUGGUUAGGGAUAAAAAUAAUAAAGCCGAAUGGCCCCUUGGCUGUCAUACGCUUCUAGGCGUCCGAAGCCCUAUUACACGAAAGUAGCUUUAACAACUUACCCGAAUCCACGAAAGCUAAGAAA